rnacentral:rRNA from 1 species
GACGAACGCUGGCGGCGUGCCUAAUACAUGCAAGUAGAACGCUGAAGCUUGGUGCUUGCACCGAGCGGAUGAGUUGCGAACGGGUGAGUAACGCGUAGGUAACCUGCCUGGUAGCGGGGGGUAACUAUUGGAAACGAUAGCUAAUACCGCAUAAUAGUAGAUGUUGCAUGACAUUUGCUUAAAAGGUGCAAUUGCAUCACUACCAGAUGGACCUGCGUUGUAUUAGCUAGUUGGUGAGGUAACGGCUCACCAAGGCAACGAUACAUAGCCGACCUGAGAGGGUGAUCGGCCACACUCGGACUGAGACACGGCCCAGACUCCUACGGGAGGCAGCAGUAGGGAAUCUUCGGCAAUGGACGGAAGUCUGACCGAGCAACGCCGCGUGAGUGAAGAAGGUUUUCGGAUCGUAAAGCUCUGUUGUAAGAGAAGAACGAGUGUGAGAGUGGAAAGUUCACACUGUGACGGUAUCUUACCAGAAAGGGACGGCUAACUACGUG